CAUCCACACUCACAAAAUUAAGAUCUGUGUCCUUAAAUAUUCUCCUCCAGGCUCCAACACCUUUGUUCUUCCGGAAAUUAGUAGGAGAGGAUCGACUGGUCAUCUAUCAUCGGCCGCACCGACGGCCGCGUGCUAAUCCUUUAGGGUUUCUCCAAAUCUAAAAAUCGAAAUGGACCAAACAAUUGAAAGGUCUCCAAAUGCACAUAGAGGUUUUCGAGUUCAACCUCCACUGGUGGAUUAGAUCAAGAAAUGAAAGGUGAAUGCAGUGAAGAUCUAGACCUUACUUAAGAUGAAUUUUGAAUUGCUAUAGAUGAAUGUUCUAGGAAUCUUUUGUUAACAACAUUCUGAAACUUACUAUCUUGAAAUGUAUUAAACUUAUGCACUUGGGGUAGAACAUUUGCUUUAUGGAUAUUAUUAGCUUGUUGGAUAACUUAUAUUAUUAAUAGUUUCAUUUUGUGAUUUACUUAAA